rnacentral:rRNA from 1 species
AUUGAACGCUGGCGGAAUGCUUUACACAUGCAAGUCGAACGGCAGCACGGACUUCGGUCUGGUGGCGAGUGGCGAACGGGUGAGUAAUGUAUCGGAACGUGCCCAGUCGUGGGGGAUAACGUAGUGAAAAUUACGCUAAUACCGCAUACGAUCUAUGGAUGAAAGCGGGGGAUCGCAAGACCUCGCGCGAUUGGAGCGGCCGAUAUCAGAUUAGGUAGUUGGUGGGAUAAAGGCCCACCAAGCCAACGAUCUGUAGCUGGUCUGAGAGGACGACCAGCCACACGGGAACUGAGACACGGUCCUGACUCCUACGGGAGGCAGCAGUGGGGAAUUUUGGACAAUGGGCGAAAGCCUGAUCCAGCCAUUCCGCGUGCAGGAUGAAGGCCCUCGGGUUGUAAACUGCUUUUGUACAGAACGAAAAGGUUUCUACUAAUACUAGGAGCUCAUGACGGUACUGUAAGAAUAAGCACCGGCUAACUACGUGCCAGCCGCCGCGGUAA